AGUGAACGCUGGCGGUAGGCCUAACACAUGCAAGUCGAACGGCAGCACAGUAAGAGCUUGCUCUUACGGGUGGCGAGUGGCGGACGGGUGAGGAAUACAUCGGAAUCUACUUUUUCGUGGGGGAUAACGUAGGGAAACUUACGCUAAUACCGCAUACGACCUACGGGUGAAAGCAGGGGAUCUUCGGACCUUGCGCGAUUGAAUGAGCCGAUGUCGGAUUAGCUAGUUGGCGGGGUAAAGGCCCACCAAGGCGACGAUCCGUAGCUGGUCUGAGAGGAUGAUCAGCCACACUGGAACUGAGACACGGUCUAGAAUCCUACGGGAGGCCGCAGUGGGGAAUAUUGGACGAUGGGCGCAAGCCUGAUCCAGGCAUAGCGCGUGAGUGAGGGAGGCCUUCGGGGUGUAAAGCCAUUUUGUUGGGAAAGAAAAGCAGCAGGUUAAUAACCCGCUGUUCUGACGGUACCCAGAGAAUAAGCACCGGCUAACUUCGUG
rnacentral:rRNA from 1 species